rnacentral:rRNA from 1 species
AGACAGCAGCAGCCGCGGGAAUACAGAGGGUGCGAGCGUUAAUCGGAUUUACUGGGCGUAAAGCGUGCAUAGGCGGCUUCUUAAGUCGGAUGUGAAAUCCCUGAGCUUAACUUAGGAAUUGCAUUCGAUACUGGGAAGCUAGAGUAUGGGAGAGGAUGGUAGAAUUCCAGGUGUAGCGGUGAAAUGCGUAGAGAUCUGGAGGAAUACCGAUGGCGAAGGCAGCCAUCUGGCCUAAUACUGACGCUGAGGUACGAAAGCAUGGGGAGCAAACAGGAUUAGAUACCCGAGUAGUCCCUGUCUCUUAUAC